rnacentral:rRNA from 1 species
AUUAUUGAAAGGUGCUUGCAUCUUGAUUUAAUUUUGAACGAGUGGCGGACGGGUGAGUAACACGUGGGUAACCUGCCCUUAAGUGGGGGAUAACAUUUGGAAACAGAUGCUAAUACCGCAUAAAUCCAAGAACCGCAUGGUUCUUGGCUGAAAGAUGGCGUAAGCUAUCGCUUUUGGAUGGACCCGCGGCGUAUUAGCUAGUUGGUGAGGUAACGGCUCACCAAGGCAAUGAUACGUAGCCGAACUGAGAGGUUGAUCGGCCACAUUGGGACUGAGACACGGCCCAAACUCCUACGGGAGGCAGCAGUAGGGAAUCUUCCACAAUGGACGCAAGUCUGAUGGAGCAACGCCGCGUGAGUGAAGAAGGCUUUCGGGUCGUAAAACUCUGUUGUUGGAGAAGAAUGGUCGGCAGAGUAACUGUUGUCGGCGUGACGGUAUCCAACCAGAAAGCCACGGCUAACUACGUGCCAGCAGCCGCGGUAAUACGUAGGUGGCAAGCGUUAUCCGGAUUUAUUGGGCGUAAAGCGAGCGCAGGCGGUUUUUUAAGUCUGAUGUGAAAGCCCUCGGCUUAACCGAGGAAGUGCAUCGGAAACUGGGAAACUUGAGUACAGAAGAGGACAGUGGAACUCCAUGUGUAGCGGUGAAAUGCGUAGAUAUAUGGAAGAACACC